rnacentral:rRNA from 1 species
CCCCUGCAUUCAGUUGCCAACGGUAAGCCGGGCACUCUGGAUGGACUGCCGGCGACAAGCCGGAGGAAGGUGGGGAUGACGUCAAGUCAUCGAUGGCCCCUUAUGUCCAGGGCGACACACGUGCUACAAUGGCCGGCACAGCGGGAAGCGAGGGGGCGACCUUGAGCGGAUCCCUUGAAAGCCGGUCCCAGUUCGGAUUGCAGUCUGCAACUCGACUGCAUGAAGUUGGAAUCGCUAGUAAUCGCGGAUCAGCCAAGCCGCGGUGAAUACGUUCCCGGGCCUU